CUUUUUGGGAGAUCAUUCUUAUGUGAAAUUCAUACAAAUGUCUUGAGUGCUAUUUUCACCUUCACUCAUUUAUUAAUUAUUACAAGUUUUAGCUUUCAUAGGAAAAUAUAUUUUACUUGGUGUGCUGAAGAUAUUCUUCAACCUUUAACAGUAAAGUGGGGUUCUAGGUUCUCGACCCAAUUAAAUUUGGAAAUUACAUAAAUUGUUAAUGUGAACGUCAAAACUGGACAUGAGUUAAAAUUGAAUGUAAAGUGGUUUGAUGCUUUGCUCUCCAACUUUAAAUUACAUAAAAGUCAAGCAAUUCUAAUUUUCACAAUGACGAGUUUUCACCACAUGGCGAUCCAAAUUCAAAUAUUUAAAUACGUUGCCCAUGAUAGGGAUGACAACGGGAGAGAUGAGACGGGAUGGGAAGCCGCUAGGGAUUCUUCACGCCCUGUCCCAACCUUGAUCCCAGCUUAAGGUGGGGCGGUUGCAGGGGAUAGGGCAAUAUGGAUGGGAUGCCUCCUCUCUCCACAUAUUUUCCGUUUAAUUUUAUUUUAAUCAUAAGCCUUAGAUAUCUCUUUUUAAUUUUCACGCACUAACACAUACUAAAUGCACACGUCAAUGGCUGCAAAAAUAGGGUCGGCCCUAAUAUUUUGGGGGCCUUAUGCCAAUUUCAAAUUGGGGCCCUAUAUUUUGAAUCUUCUUAUAUAGAGUUUUAGCCCCUGUUUGAUGAAGAUUAAGCCAUUGUUUGAGCCUCAUUUUUUUUUAUAAAAAUACAUUUUUCAACAAUGAUUUGACACCACCAUUUCAACAUAUAUUUUUCAAUAAAAUAAUAUUACAUGCAAAUCCAAAAAUUUUCCUUAUUUUUUAAUCACACAUUCCCUAUCGUAACACUUUCUCAAAAUGCAUUUUUUUUGGAGAAAAAUGAGGCUCAAAGGCUCAAACAACCCCUAAAAUAGAAUUUUCAUUUUUUUUUUCAAAAUGCAUUAUUAGUUUCUUAUGUUUGCAUAUGAUACUUCUAUACUACAGAAUUUCAUAAAUAUAAUUUUUAUUUUUUUUCAACCAACAAAUUAACUUUACAUAAUUUGGGCCCUCACUUAGGCGAUCGCCUAUUUCGUCUAUACUUAGGGCCACCACUGUGCAAAAACAACACAAGCCACCAAAUUUUGUGGUAAACACUGCAAGAAGAGGAGAACCCUAAACAAAGAGAGGUAAUGCUAAGAGGAACUCAUAAAUACGGAAUGGGGUGGAGAAGACAUGGCUGCUAGUUAAAGGAGAUGUGAUUGUGAGUCUCCAUCCUGUGCAACAAAGUCAUGACAUUGAUACCCAUCAACGUCGAUAGCUGGGGGCUGCUACAGCGUGGUGCUAAGAAAUUGGGGGGUUUGGAAAUUCUGAAAUGUCUAUGCUUUGUGUAAUGCACGUGCUUAUUUUUUGUGAUUAUCGUGUUUAUCUAAAGUAGUUG
rnacentral:lncRNA from 1 species